GCCGACUUAGCUCAGUAGGUAGAGCAACUGACUUGUAAUCAGUAGGUCACCAGUCGAUUCCGGUAGUCGGCACCA
rnacentral:tRNA from 4 species